GUGGCUAUAGUUCAACGGUUAGAACGCCGGGUUGUGGUCCCGGUGAUGAGGGUUCGAUUCCCUCUAGCCACCCCA
rnacentral:tRNA from 5 species